rnacentral:tRNA from 1 species
UUUAGGGAGACCAUCUGACGGAAGACCGAACCUAAACUAUAGGUCAAUGUCAGUCAUCCCUGGUCGUUCGAGAUAAUCAUGUCAAAGCUUUCAAACUAUUAACUGGUUCGGUAAAUGGGCUAUUAGCUCAGUUGGUUAGAGCGCACCCCUGAUAAGGGUGAGGUCCCUGGUUCAAAUCCAGGAUGGCCCACCUGAACGUUAAAGAUAUGUAAUUAAAGACAAUCAGUUUUUAAUUAUGAAUUUUUAAUCACCCAGUGGGGGUAUAGCUCAGUUGGUAGAGCGCCUGCCUUGCACGCAGGAAGUCAGCGGUUCGAGUCCGCUUACCUCCACUCUCACUAACGGCAGAUACUGGCUCAACCACAAACCAUAAUUAUUCAACCAUAACUAAGAACAAAGAAAUCAGCACCUAGAUCGGCGGCAGAGCUCAUCAGAAUGCUGGAGUCUCCACUCUAGUCAGAACCUUGAAAACUGCAUAGAAAUUAAGUCAUCAUCAAGCAGGUAAGUCAUCCGAGUCAUCGGAAAAUCUUACUUACAGACCAUCAAUCAACAAUGUGUC